CCUACGGGAGGCUGCAGUGGGGAAUAUUGCACAAUGGGGGGAACCCUGAUGCAGCAACGCCGCGUGGGUGAAGAAUUACCUCCGGAUGUAAAGCCCUGUCAGCAGGGGAGAAAAGGACGGUACGUGACCAAGAAUCCCCGGCUAACUACGUGCCAGCAGCCUCGGUAAUACGUAGGGGGCAAGCGUUAUCCGGAUUUACUGGGUGUUAAGGGAGCGUAGAGGGCAAGGCAAGUCUGGAGUGAAAGUCCGUGGCUCAACCACGGGACUGCAAUGGAUACUGUGUUGCUGGAGUGCAGGAGGGGUAAGCGGAAUUCGUAGUGUAGCGGUGAAAUGCGUAGAUAUUAGGAGGAACACCGGUGGCGAAGGCGGCCUACUGGACUGUCACUGACGUUGAGGCUCGAAGGCGUGGGGAGCAAACAGGAUUAGAUACCCGUGUAGUC
rnacentral:rRNA from 1 species